rnacentral:rRNA from 1 species
GCCAUGCAUGUCUAAGUAUAAGCAAUUAUACAGCGAAACUGCGAAUGGCUCAUUAUAUAAGUUAUCGUUUAUUUGAUAGUACCUUACUACUUGGAUAACCGUGGUAAUUCUAGAGCUAAUACAUGCUAAAAAUCCCGACUUCGGAAGGGAUGUAUUUAUUAGAUUAAAAACCAAUGCCCUCUGGGCUCCUUGGUGAUUCAUAAUAACUUUUCGAAUCGCAUGGCCUUGCGCCGGCGAUGGUUCAUUCAAAUUUCUUCCCUAUCAACUUUCGAUGUUUGGGUAUUGGCCAAACAUGGUCGCAACGGGUAACGGAGGGUUAGGGCUCGACCCCGGAGAAGGAGCCUGAGAAACGGCUACUACAUCCAAGGAAGGCAGCAGGCGCGCAAAUUACCCAAUCCCGAUUCGGGGAGGUAGUGACAAUAAAUACUGAUACAGGGCUCUUUUGGGUCUUGUAAUUGGAAUGAGUACAAUUUAAAUCCCUUAACGAGGAACAAUUGGAGGGCAAGUCUGGUGCCAGCAGCCGCGGUAAUUCCAGCUCCAAUAGCGUAUAUUAAAGUUGUUGUGGUUAAAAAGCUCGUAGUUGAACCUUGGGCCUGGCUGGCCGGUCCGCCUCACCGCGUGUACUGGUCCGGCCGGGCCUUUCCCUCUGUGGAACCUCAUGCCCUUCACUGGGUGUGGCGGGGAAACAGGACUUUUACUUUGAAAAAAUUAGAGUGCUCCAGGCAGGCCUAUGCUCGAAUACAUUAGCAUGGAAUAAUGAAAUAGGACGUGUGGUUCUAUUUUGUUGGUUUCUAGGACCGCCGUAAUGAUUAAUAGGGACAGUCGGGGGCAUCAGUAUUCAAUUGUCAGAGGUGAAAUUCUUGGAUUUAUUGAAGACUAACUACUGCGAAAGCAUUUGCCAAGGAUGUUUUCAUUAAUCAGGAACGAAAGUUAGGGGAUCGAAGACGAUCAGAUACCGUCGUAGUCUUAACCAUAAACUAUGCCG